ensembl:lncRNA
UAGGUUAGUAUGUAGGUUAGUAUGUAGGUUAGUAUGUAGGUUAGUAUGUAGGUUAGUACGUAGGUUAGUAUGUAGGUUAGUAUGUAGGUUAGUACGUAGGUUAGUACGUAGGUUAGUAUGUAGGUUAGUACGUAGGUUAGUAUGUGGGAAUGUUGAACGGUUGUACAGUAGUAGAGUGUAUUUAUAGAAAUCUCUAAACAGGACCCAGUAAUCCAUAUUUUAUGAAAAACUCAUUGCAAUUAUAUGUUUAUUUCUUUUACAAAAGUUCAGACCGAUGUUUUUCUUCAAAAAGCUGACCAGUGAACAUUUGAUGAGAAACGACAAAAUGAAACAGACCUCACUCACAAUAUUAGAACAACAUCACGUUGCCGUUGCUGAACUGCGUGGACCAUUAAAAGUUGAGGAAAAAAACACAACUUUCCAAACAAGUUAAACAUCAGUAUUGCGGCUUUAAGGAUCGCUACCAUGGGAACCAUGGAUAUGCGAAUGAAGGGGAUAAGAGUAGAUAGGAACAAGAAAAAUAACUGUCUUCUUCGUCAGCACUCAGUAGAUUCCCAGAUAGGGAUGUUCCAUUUCAGCAUUGAGCAGAAAUCAUCUGCAAUUUGAUGUUUCUCCACUUUGAAAUAAAAAUAAAGCGUUCAUAUGAAUACAUAUGUGAACCUGCAAGCCGCUGAAAGUCGACUUUCUACGAGCAGGCAUGCGUGCGUGCGUGUGUGUGUGUGUGUGCGUGUGUGUUUGUGUGUGUGUGUGUGUG